GUGUGUAGGUGGAGGACUUAGGCAAAUCCGGGUCCUUGUUAACACUAAGGCGUGAUGACGAUGUCUUUCAGACAGCAAAGUGGCUGGGUCCAUGCUUCCAGGAAAAGCCUCGUAUCUAGUUGUACGUGCGACCGUACCGUAAACCGACACAGGUGGGCUGGUAGAGAAUACCAAGGCGCUUGAGAGAACUCAGGUUAAGGAACUCGGCAAAAUAGCACCGUAACUUCGGGAGAAGGUGUGCCUGCGUGGUGUAGUUAUUUACUAACGAAGCCUGGUCAGGUUGCAGUGAAAUGGGGGGAGCGACUGUUUACUAAAAACACAGGACUCUGCGAAGUCGAAAGACGAAGUAUAGGGUCUGACGCCUGCCCGGUGCCGGAAGGUUAAGGGGACAUGUCAGCGCAAGCGAAGCAUCGAACCGAAGCCCCGGUAAACGGCGGCCGUAACAAUAACGGUCCUAAGGUAGCGAAAUUCCUUGUCGGGUAAGUUCCGACCUGCACGAAUGGCGUAACGAUUUCCCCACUGUCUCAACCAGAGGCUCAGCGAAACUGUAGCACCGGUGAAGAUGCCGGUUACCCGCAACAAGACAGAAAGACCCCGUGAACCUUUACUAUAGCUUGGCAUUGGUUUUUGAGGCAACAUGUGUAGGAUAGGUGGGAGGCUUUGAAGUGGGCACGCCAGUGCUCAUGGAGCCACCCUUGAAAUACCACCCUUGUUGCCUUAGGAAUCUAACCGCGGUCCGUUAUCCGGAUCCGGGACAUUGUCUGGUGGGUAGUUUGGCUGGGGCGGUCGCCUCCCAAAACGUAACGGAGGCGCGCGAUGGUUCCCUCAGGCUGAUUGGAAACCAGCCGUAGAGUGUAAAGGCAUAAGGGAGCUUGACUGCGAGACGGACACGUCGAGCAGGUACGAAAGUAGGUCUUAGUGAUCCGGCGAUUCCGCAUGGAAGGGUCGUCGCUCAACGGAUAAAAGGUACUCCGGGGAUAACAGGCUUAUCUCCCCCAAGAGUCCAUAUCGACGGGGAGGUUUGGCACCUCGAUGUCGGCUCAUCACAUCCUGGGGCUGGAGCAGGUCCCAAGGGUUUGGCUGUUCGCCAAUUAAAGUGGUACGUGAGCUGGGUUUAAAACGUCGUGGGACAGUUUGGUCCUUAUCUGUUGCGGGCGCAGGAUAUUUGAGGAGAUCUUCCCCUAGUACGAGAGGACCGGGGUGGACGAACCUAUGGUGUACCAGUUGUUCCGCCAGGGGCAUCGCUGGGUAGCUAAGUUCGGAAGGGAUAACCGCUGAAAGCAUCUAAGCGGGAAACCCACUCCAAGAUGAGAUAUCCCAUGGUGUAAACCAUCUGAAGGCUCGUCGUAGACUACGACGUCGAUAGGUCGGGUGUGGAAGUGCAGUAAUGCACGGAGCUUACCGAUACUAAUCAGCCGUGCGGCUUAUCCAU
rnacentral:rRNA from 1 species